AUUGAACGCUGGCGGCAGGCCUAACACAUGCAAGUCGAGCGGAUGAGUGGAGCUUGCUCCAUGAUUCAGCGGCGGACGGGUGAGUAAUGCCUAGGAAUCUGCCUGGUAGUGGGGGACAACGUUUCGAAAGGAACGCUAAUACCGCAUACGUCCUACGGGAGAAAGUGGGGGAUCUUCGGACCUCACGCUAUCAGAUGAGCCUAGGUCGGAUUAGCUAGUUGGUGAGGUAAAGGCUCACCAAGGCGACGAUCCGUAACUGGUCUGAGAGGAUGAUCAGUAACACUGGAACUGAGACACGGUCCAGACUCCCACGGGAGGCAGCAGUGGGGAAUAUUGGACAAUGGGCGAAAGCCUGAUCCAGCCAUGCCGCGUGUGUGAAGAAGGUCUUCGGAUUGUAAAGCACUUUAAGUUGGGAGGAAGGGCAGUAAGUUAAUACCUUGCUGUUUUGACGUUACCAACAGAAUAAGCACCGGCUAACUUCGUGCCAGCAGCCGCCGUAA
rnacentral:rRNA from 1 species